rnacentral:rRNA from 1 species
UACGUAGGGAGCUAGCGUUGUUCGGAAUCACUGGGCGUAAAGCGCACGUAGGCGGAUUUGUCAGUCAGGGGUGAAAUCCCGGAGCUCAACUCCGGAACUGCCUUUGAUACAGCACAUCUGGAGUCCGGAAGAGGUGGGUGGAAUUCCUAGUGUAGAGGUGAAAUUCGUAGAUAUUAGGAAGAACACCGGUGGCGAAGGCGGCCCACUGGUCCGGUACUGACGCUGAGGUGCGAAAGCUAGGGUAGCAAACGGG